GACGAACCGUACGAGCGUUAUUCGGAAUUACUGGGCUUAAAGGGUGCGUAGGCUGCGCAGAAAGUUGGGUGUGAAAUCCCUCGGCUUAACCGAGGAACUGCGCCCAAAACUACUGUGCUCGAGGGAGACAGAGGUGAGCGGAACUUAGGGUGGAGCGGUGAAAUGCGUUGAUAUCCUAAGGAACACCCGUGGCGAAAGCGGCUCACUGGGUCUCUUCUGACGCUGAGGCACGAAAGCUAGGGUAGCGAACGGG
rnacentral:rRNA from 1 species